GACGAACGCUGGCGGCGUGCUUAACACAUGCAAGUCGAACGGAAAGGCCCUGCUUUUGUGGGGUGCUCGAGUGGCGAACGGGAGAGUAACACGUGAGUAACCUGCCCUUGACUUUGGGAUAACUUCAGGAAACUGGGGCUAAUACCGGAUAGGAGCUCCUGCUGCAUGGUGGGGGUUGGAAAGUUUCGGCGGUUGGGGAUGGACUCGCGGCUUAUCAGCUUGUUGGUGGGGUAGUGGCUUACCAAGGCUUUGACGGGUAGCCGGCCUGAGAGGGUGACCGGCCACAUUGGGACUGAGAUACGGCCCAGACUCCUACGGGAGGCAGCAGUGGGGAAUAUUGCACAAUGGGCGGAAGCCUGAUGCAGCAACGCCGCGUGCGGGAUGACGGCCUUCGGGUUGUAAACCGCUUUCGCCUGUGACGAAGCGUGAGUGACGGUAAUGGGUAAAGAAGCACCGGCUAACUACGUG
rnacentral:rRNA from 1 species